CUCGUAGGCGGUUUGGUAAGUCGGGUGUGAAAACUCUGGGCUCAACCCAGAGAGGCCACCCGAUACUGCUAUGACUAGAGUACGGUAGGGGAGCGGGGAAUUCAUGGUGUAGCGGUGAAAAGCGCAGAUAUCAUGAGGAACACCAGCGGCGAAGGCGCCGCUCUGGGCCGUAACUGACGCUGAGGAGCGAAAGCAUGGGUAGCAAACAGGAUUAGAUACCCUGGUAGUC
rnacentral:rRNA from 1 species